AAUUUGAAAUCUGGUACCUUUGGGUGCCCGAGUUGUAAUUNGGAGAGGCAACUUCGAAGGAGGCGCUGGCNUAAGUUCCUUGGAACAGGACGUCACAGAGGGUGAGAAUCCCGUGCUUGGCUGGCUGUCCUCCUUCAUGUGAAGUGUCUUCGACGAGUCGAGUUGUUUGGGAAUGCAGCUCAAAAUGGGUGGUAAACUCCAUCUAAGGCUAAAUAUUGGCGAGAGACCGAUAGCGCACAAGUAGAGUGAUCGAAAGAUGAAAAGCACUUUGAAAAGAGAGUUAAACAGUACGUGAAAUUGUUGAAAGGGAAGCGCUUGAGACCAGACUCGGUGAUUGGUGAUCAGCGGUUGCUUUUGCUCCGUGCACUUGCCUUUUACCGGGCCAGCAUCAGUUGUAACGGUGGGAUAAAGACUCAGGGAAUGUGGCUCUCUUCGGGAAGUGUUAUAGCCCUGGGUGUAAUGCCACCUGUUGCGACUGAGGACCGCGCUUCGGCUAGGAUGCUGGCAUAAUGGUCUUCAGCGACCCGUCUUGAAACACGGACCAAGGAGUCUAACAUCUAUGCGAGUGUUCGGGUGUAAAACCCCUACGCGUAAUGAAAGUGAACGGAGGUGGGAACUCUUCGGAGUGCACCAUCGACYGAUCCUGAUGUCUUCGGAUGGAUUUGAGUAGGAGCAUAGCUGUUGGGACCCGAAAGAUGGUGAACUAUGCCUGAAUAGGGUGAAGCCAGAGGAAACUCUGGUGGAGGCUCGCAGCGGUUCUGACGUGCAAAUCGAUCGUCAAAUUUGG
rnacentral:rRNA from 1 species